UUGGGGGGGUAACGGCCCACCAAGGCGACGACGGGUAGCCGGCCUGAGAGGGCGACCGGCCACACUGGGACUGAGACACGGCCCAGACUCCUACGGGAAGCAGCAGUGGGGAAUAUUGCACAAUGGGGGAAACCCUGAUGCAGCGACGCCGCGUGCGGGAUGAAGGCCUUCGGGUUGUAAACCGCUUUCAGCAGGGGCGAAUUCAGACGGUACCUGCAGAAGAAGCGCCGGCUAACUACGUGCCAGCAGCCGCGGUAAUACGUAGGGCGCGAGCGUUGUCCGGAAUUAUUGGGCGUAAAGAGCUCGUAGGCGGCCUGUUGCGUCCGCUGUGAAAUCCCAGGGCUUAACCCUGGGCCUGCAGUGGAUACUGCGAGGCUAGAGGCCGGUAGGGGGACGUGGAAUUCCUGGUGUAGCGGUGAAAUGCGCAGAUAUCAGGAGGAACACCGGUGGCGAAGGCGGGUCUCUGGGCAGUAACUGACGCUGAGGAGCGAAAGCGUGGGGAGCGAACAGGAUUAGAUACCCUGAUAGUCCACGCCGUAAACGUUGGGCGCUAGGUGUGGGGCUCAUUCCACGAGUUCCGUGCCGCAGCUAACGCAUUAAGCGCCCCGCCUGGGGAGUACGG
rnacentral:rRNA from 1 species